GAAGUGGUGGUUCAGUGGUAAAAUUCUCACCUUCCAUGUAGAAGACACAGGUUCAAUUCCUGACCAAUACA
rnacentral:tRNA from 1 species